rnacentral:rRNA from 1 species
UGGGGAAUAUUGCACAAUGGGGCGCAAGCCUGAUGCAGCGAUGCCGCGUGAGGGAAGAAGGCUUUCGGGUUGUAAACUUCUUUUACCAGGGACGAAGGACGUGACGGUACCUGGAGAAAAAGCCACGGCUAACUACGUGCCAGCAGCCGCGGUAAUACGUAGGUGGCAAGCGUUGUCCGGAUUUACUGGGUGUAAAGGGCGUGUAGGCGGAGAAGCAAGUCAGAAGUGAAAUCCAUGGGCUUAACCCAUGAACUGCUUUUUGAAACUGUUUCCCUUGAGUAUCGGAGAGGCAGGCGGAAUUCCUAGUGUAGCGGUGAAAUGCGUAGAUAUUAGGAGGAACACCAGUGGCGAAGGCGGCCUGCUGGACGACAACUGACGCUGAGGCGCGAAA